rnacentral:rRNA from 1 species
UACGGAGGGUGCGAGCGUUAUCCGGAUUUAUUAGGUUUAAAGGGUGCGUAGGCGGACCUUUAAGUCAGUGGUGAAAUCCCGUGGCUCAACCACGGAACUGCCAUUGAUACUGGAGGUCUUGAGUACGGUCAAGGUGGGCGGAAUGCGUCGUGUAGCGGUGAAAUGCAUAGAUACGACGCAGAACACCAAUUGCGGAGGCAGCUCACUGGCCCGUAACUGACGCUGAUGCACGAAAGCGUGGGUAGCGAAC